rnacentral:lncRNA from 1 species
GAUUUCUGUUACUUUUGAUUGGCGUAUAUGACUGCAUUUACAUACGUAGCAACAACUCCUUUCAUGUUUCGUUUGGAGAUACACUAUGAAACAAACCUGAAGCACUCCUGUUUGAGUUGAUGUUAAAGUUGCAGAGAGGUUUGGGUUUUGAAAGUUGACGGUUUAGGUUAGUUAAACGUGUGUUAAGGAAGAGUAAAAAUUGUGACGUUUGUGGUGUUUCAAUGUAUAGAUGUGGACAUUAAGAUGCAUUAAUAAUAACAAAAUUAUUGAUAGGAAAAUUAAAUGUGAUCAAUUCCUAGUAGAUAGUCCAAAAUUAAUAUGAAAGAUGUAACAUGAGUUUCUAGUGAUAGGUUCAUUAGGUCCAUUUUU